rnacentral:rRNA from 1 species
CCCUUAGAUGUUCUGGGCCGCACACGCACUACAAUGACAAAGUCAACGAGUAGAUCCGUUACUGAUAAGUACCGGUAAUCUUUUCAGUCUUUGUCGUGAUGGGGAUAGACCCUUGUAAUUAUUGGUCUCCAACGAGGAAUUCCUAGUAAACGCAAGUCAUCAACUUGCAUUGAUUACGUCCCUGCCCUUUGUACACACCGCCCGUCGCACCUACCGAUUGAAUGGCCCGGUGAAGUCUUCGGACUGGAGCUGACUCGUUAGCUCCAGAAAGUUGAGUAAACCUUACCAUUUAGAGGAAGGUGAAGUCGUAACA